GCCUUCGUGGUGUAGUGGUCAGCACGCUGGGCGCGUAUUCCAGAGGUCCGUGGUUCGAGUCCCGGCGAAGGCG
rfam:Stegodyphus mimosarum contig49965, whole genome shotgun sequence.